UUAUAUCUCAAUAUUAAGUAGCGCUCAUUUUUGGGCGAGGAAGUAGAAUUUCUGGGAUAUAUUGUAGUGAAAACUACAGCCACACCCAAUUUUACAUUUUUCUCCACUGUGAAACUCACGGGCGUAAAACUUCACGCGUGCACCCAAUUUUUGGAAAAAAAAUUACUACACGCAUAAUUUCUGAAAUUCUGUUUUUCAUUCUUUUCUCCAUGCCAGUAAGCUUAAAUCUGGUUUUUCCCUUUUAACCAAGGAACAACAACUACCACUCUAUUGUCCACCUCUAAUAAUUUCGGAUAAGAAAGACGACGAAGAGGGAUAACACAAAAAGGUUGGAUUCAAAUCAGUGGAAGUGCCAUUAAUCAAUUGUGAAAUGGGUUAAUGUUUAGGGGAAUGAAGAUGGAAAUUAACACCAACGAAUCUGAAAUCGACAAUCAACAAAUAUGGUGAUUUUUUGAUUGCCUAGGUUCGAUUUGAAAUUGUAUUUUGAGAUGGUAGUGAACUGUUGACGAAGAUUAAGGAAGAAAUUAGAAAUUUGGGAGGGGUACUGAAAUCGACAAUCAUCAAAGAUGGUGAUUUUUACUUGAAUUUUUUACAGGAAGCUGUUGCUUAAGAAAAUUUAGAAGAAGACGUUUGUCUCAUGAGAAUAAAUUGGAGUUCAUAUAAGAAUUGGGUUUUGAUGAGUUGGUAAGGACACCUGCAAAUUAUGGAACUAAAGGACACCUGGAAAUUAUGUUUAUAUAUGUCUAGCUUGGUAUUGAGCUUGACUAAUGCAAGUAUGUAUAUAUUCAAGUAUAACACAGUGUGUACACAGAGAUAGGGUGGUCUCUUUAUUUUUGGGGUCUCUUAGUCAGUUUGUUGGUGCUUCGAUCCUUUCCAGAUUCUUACUCCCUGUGUUAUUGUAUUUUCAUCAUUCAAUGUAUAGGGUAAUGUUGCACUAAUAGCAUUUUGGGAAGCAAAAUUUAGCAACCACGUACCCGGUAUUUGGAAAACGGCUUUGUGUGGUGCCAAUUUUUGGGCUUUAAAUUCCUGGGUGCUAUUUCGAAUGUCCGUAGGAGUCGCACAGGGUUAAUUAGGGGUUUGGUUAUAAACUUAGGAUUUUCUGUAUCAAAAAAAAAACUUAGGAUUUGAGCGUAUCGUGAUAUCUGUUAUCGACCUCUAGCAUAAUUUAUCUAUUUUAUCGAUAUUUGAUAUGA